GUGUCAGCCGCCGCGGUAAAACGUAGGAGCCAAGCGUUAUCCGAAUUUACUGGGCGUAAAGCGCGUGCAGGCGGUUGGGUAAGUUGGCUGUGAAAUCUCCCGGCUCAACUGGGAGGGGACGGUCAAGACUGCCCGACUGGAGGCAGGUAGAGGGAGGUGGAAUUCCCGGUGUAGUGGUGAAAUGCGUAGAUAUCGGGAGGAACACCCGUGGCGAAGGCGGCCUCCUGGACCUGACCUGACGCUCAGACGCGAAAGCUAGGGGAGCGAACGGGAUUAGAAACCCGCGUAGUCC
rnacentral:rRNA from 1 species